ACCUGCCAUUGGAUCCUUCAGCCACAAAUGCAGUAUAGGAGAACUGUCAGAUCAUAAUUCAUCAACCAAUGAUGCUACGAAAAAAUUAACUCCUUGCAUUCUAAUUCAGAGAUCACCAUGGAAGGUUUACUGUCUUUUCUAGUAUUUAUAAGAUUGGAACUUGAACAUGAAAUUCUAUGUUGUGUGUAAAUCACUUUACUGAUUCUCUACUGAUCUAUAUUAUGUGUACAAAUCACUUUAGUGCUUCUCUAAUCUCUACUGAUUGCUUUCUGGGAAAAAGAAUCCCUUCGAAAACUUCACAGUUAGUUCAUCUGUAUGUCUAACAUAUGUGUGUUUUCAUUUAAGACUCACCUGCAGGCUGAAAGAAUCCCAGUGCAAAAUUGCCAUCCCGAGAGAUCAGCUUCUGGUUCCCGGAGAGCUGCUGGUUCGAAGUGAGGGUAUCGGAGGCAUGCAAUGGAGACUGUUGGAGAGAAAUUAGAAGUAAAAGUAAGGAUAUGGUGCAUGAAGAAAGCCAGGUAGCCAUACAAGAAAUCAAAGGGAAAAAAGGAUGGUCUUCAGUUUCCAGUUAAAUCCAUGCUGUGACGCUCUCCUGAUGUUGAAGCCGUUAGUAAGAAAAGGCCCUUUUGUUGGAUGUACAUUUCAGUCAACAAUGCUAUAUUCUGAACAAGCUCUGAGAAUCGUUGAGUUGGUAAAGAAGCUGCGAAUUAUGGUGCCGGUAAGGCUUUAAUAAACAUUAAGAGCAUAGUGUGUCGCUGAAUCUCCACUCCAUGACAAGGGAUGGUGGUACCCCCAAGUCCCAAGAUGAUUUGAUGACCAACGUUCAGGCAGCAGCUCGGCCACUUGACGGGUUCGCUGCGACUGCGAGCCUGCGAGGUUCAAAGUCAACAAGUCACAACUGCAAUUUGUUGACUCAUCUGGUUUUUGGUCAUCGCGACUUCCCCUAUUGGGUUUGAUUCUCGUUCCGUCUAUGUUCUGGAAUUAGCGCAAAUUAGUCAUAUGAAGUUGUGAACCUUUGACACCUAGAUGGAUUUUUGUCGAAAUUUGGAGCAGACAGGUCGACAGUCAUAUGAACCUUUGACACCACUGUUUGCUUCUCUGCUCCAUCAUUAGGUAAUCCGUAAUCGCAUCUGCCAUUCAGCAAACUUGUCUGUUUGCUCUGGCCAUCCUAUGUCAAUUUUCCUUCAGAAGUUUAGUGCUUUUCGUAUCA